GAUGAACGCUGGCGGCGUGCCUAAUACAUGCAAGUCGAGCGAACAGACGAGGAGUUUGCUCCUCUGACGUUAGCGGCGGACGGGUGAGUAACACGUGGAUAACCUACUUAUAAGACUGGGAUAACUUCGGGAAACCGUCUCUAAUCCCGUAUAAUCUCUUGAUCCGCAUUGUUCAAUAGUGAAAGACGGUUUUGCUGUCACUUAUAGAUCGAUCCGCGCCGCAUUAGCUAGUUGGUAUGGUAACGGCUUACCAAGGCAACGAUGCGUAGCCGACCUGAGAGGGGGAGCGGCCACGAUAGAGCUGAGACCCGGUCCAGAAUCCAGAGAGAGGCAGCAGUAGGGAAUGUGGCGGAAGGGGCGAAAGCCUGACAGAGGAACGAAGCGUGAGUGAUGAAGGUCUUCGGAUCGAAGAACUCUGUUAGUAGGGAAGAACAAAUGUGUAAGUAACUAUGCACGUCUUGACGGUACCUAAUCAGAAAGCCACGGCUAACUACGUG
rnacentral:rRNA from 1 species